ensembl:lncRNA
CCAGGGCGGCUAGCUCCACAGCUAGACCCCCAACCAUGGUGGACCAGGAGACAGGACCAGGGACUGGACCAGGGGACAGGACCAGGGGACAGGACCAGGGGACAGGACCAGGACCAGGGGACAGGACCAGGGGACAGGACUGGACCAGGACCAGGGGACAGGACCAGGACCAGGGGACAGGACUGGACCAGGACCAGGGGACAGGACUGGACCUGGACCAGGACCAGGACCAGGGGACAGGACCAGGGGACUGGUGGGAGGGCGCUACCUGUGCCAGAUGACAGUCUGGGUGGGGAUGACGGACCCCUGGGGUGGAGGGGUGGGGGUGACGGGCCCCUGGGGGUGGAGGUGACGGAGGGUGGGGGUGGAGGUGGGGUUGGAGGGUGGGGGUGACGAAGGGUGGGGACGGGGUGUGGUUGGGGGGUGGGGAUGGAGGCCGUGGGGAGGGGAGACCUUCCUGUCCCCCAAGCAGCACCUACUCUAGUGAUGGACUGUAGUCACGGUAACAGAGUAGAGACCAGCACUAGAGCCCAGCACCACCGCUAGAGACCAGCACUAGAGACCAGCACUAGAGACCAGCACUAGAGACCAGCACCACCGCUAGAGACCAGCACUAGAGACCAGCACCACCACUAGAGAGAGACCAGCACUAGAGACCAGCACCACCACUAGAGAGAGACCAGCACUAGAGACCAGCACUAGAGACCAGCACCACCACUAGAGACCAGCACUAGAGACCAGCACCACCACUAGAGACAAGCACUAGAGACCAUCAGACACAGAGGAGCACCUUCAGAGGAC